CUCUGGAAUUAGAUGAGUACUCAUUAGUAAAACCUGUAUGUAGUUAGACAAAUGAAGGUUCAUGGGAAACGUUUAGGGUUCCACAGAGGUAAGCAGCUUCGACGCGAACGAUUCCAUGAAGUUUAUCCACAGAUGUGAACCAGGGAAGCUGAAGCCGAAUCAUGGAUCAUAUGAAGAACCAUAUGUUUGACCCGAUAACACAGGUUCUAUUCACCAUCUCUGUCACGCAUCUAUUGGCAGUCCCUGGUGAUGCGCGAAGUCAAUUUACAAAGUUCUUCGUUUCCUCAAUUUACAGUGGUUUACAUAAAUUUUGGUUGAUUUAUACACAAAAUUUGGUUGCUCUUUUACAUAAAUUUUGGCUGGUAUUUAACAAUGGGUUGCUUGGGAGACAACCCAAGUUUUGUUUUAUUUUGCUUGUUUGGUUGUUGCAUUUUGCAGGGAUUGAGAGCCUAAAUUUUGGAGUAGGAGGUGGCUCUAAGGCCUCCAUGGCAAUUAGUAAAGAAGGGAUGAGUGAUUGCAUGUUUGGGGAAGAGAGGAGGAGACUUCGGUAUUCCGAGUGUUUCUUGAGAAAGGAGUCGAGGUGAGUCCAUUAAGGGUCUAUCUUUGACCCUUCACCAUAAAAUUUCCCUGGAGGAUCCUGACUCACUUGCAAUUCUUGGUUCUGCAUUAAUUUCACUCAUAGCAUGCUUUGUGAUUCUUGCUUUAUUCUUGAGACUUGUAGGAUUUCUUGAGAUUCUGAAUUAGUUGAUUGAACAUUGUCUUUAGUUGCCCCACUUGAGCCUUUUUGGAUAUUUUAUUGUAGCCAAGUGAUUGGGGCGGAUGUUUGGUUGGAAUAUUAGGGAGUGAUGAUCCUUGAUUAUAUUUGUAUGUAGCUGAAAAAUUGUGAAAUUCUCUUGCCCCGAAAAGAAAAAAAUCAUUGAAAAAAAAAAGAAAAAGAACUCCUGAACAAAAGCUGGAGUUGUAAAAGAAAAAAAAAGUUGAAAAAAAGGGGGGGUACAAGAGACUUGUGCUAAAUAGUUUAUUGUGAAAAGCUCCGGGGGGGUUUUAGAAUUGGACCACACUCAAUGUGCUUGAAGCCUAGAAUUUCCUUAGGGACCAACCACCAUCAUGUUCUACCUAGCCAAUGUUUCAACCCUUUUUAAAGUCUCUUUGAAUAUUUGCAUGUUUGAUCUUUGUUGCUAUUGAGUGAAUGGCAUUCAGGACCUAUGAACUUGCUUGUGUGCUCAGUGCACUAAAUCAACAUCUCAUCCUAGGAUUUUUAGUUCUAUAUGCUUCUCAUGAAUGGACUCUACACUCUUCUCUUUUCAAAAGAUGCAUGAAGUAGGUUGUCGGGUCUUUCUCUUGGAACUAGCUGUGAUUCCUUUGUCCCCAUAUUUUUUGUGAAGUAUUCCUUGUUGAGAGCACUUGUUUGAGAGCAUUUCUUGCGCUUGAGGGCAAGCGAGUGUUAUUUACGCUCGAGUGCGAGAUGUCGUUGAGUAUAGUGGUGUGAUGACCCUUGUUUAGUGGUGUUUUUAGGGUCAUUUCUUUCUUUGUUUUGAGUCUUUUUGUUGAGUCUCAUGUAGUGUUUCAUGCAUUUUUAUCUUUCUUUGAGUCUUUACUUCGUUUUGGUAAUUUUGUAGUUUUAUAGGGAGUUUUCUUGCAUUUUAAGUAAGUUUAGGACUUGUAUGGUUUUAUUGUGUUAAUUGAAGGAUCUAUUGUGCUAAUAAGCUCUUUGAGCUUCUGGAAUUUUCCUUGGCUUGUUGGUUAAGUUUGCAGAUCAGAAACUGAAGGUGAAAGAAGGCCAAGAAGCAUGGAAUUGAAGGAGGACUUAAAGAGGCUUAAAAGAGGAGUUACAAGAAACUAAAAAGUCUUUUCCAGCGAGCUUAAGCGCCUAGGCGUUGGGAAUUGGCGCCUAGGCUCUAGUUGCUUUUUCUGAACCUCCUGUAAUUGGCGCCUAGGCGCUGGGAAUUGGCGCCUAGGCGCCAAUUGACCUCCAGAGAGCAUGUUUGUGGCUGGAAUUGGCGCUCAGGCGCUCUGAAUUGGCGCCUAAGCGCCCAAACUCGACUGUUUUGCCUAUAAAUUGGUUUUUAGACAUUUCUCUUGAAAACCUUUUGGUCAUUUUAUCAUAUUUUCACAAGUUUUUUAAGAGAGGGUUUGAGUUCUGGAGCUUGAGGAGCUUUCCCUAAGCCCUAUGUUUCAGGUUUCAUUCUUAUCUUCUUGUAUGGAUUCCAUAGCCAUGCUUGGCUAAAACCCCUUUUGUUUUUGGUUCUUUGUAAGACUUUGCAUGUUUUAGCUUUCAUUCCUUUUCUAUUCA